CAGCAUGUCCUGCCGCCUGCCAACGACGAUGGCCUGGUUAGUAGGUGGGUUAUACCUGAGGGGUCCCUGAACCCAUGGCAAGGCCAGGUCGGAGUCCGGGGUUGGGCGAGGCCUUGGUCGGAGUCGACUCGUGGCGCUGCCUUUGGUGGGGUUUAAGGAAAUAGAGUUGCGCCUUCACUAACACCGGUCGGUUUUGGUGUAAUGGUAGCGCUUGAUCCUGACA
rnacentral:lncRNA from 1 species